CUUUAGAUAGAAUAGCUUUGUUUGCCUCAUUUGUUCGUGUUCCUCGUUGGCGGUCGCCCGGUUCCUUGUUGGCGGUCGCCCGGUGGAUUUGCGAUACAGAGGCACCGAUGAAAAGCGUGCGUGCUCUCCCCAAAACGCGGUGCGUUCGUCGCCGAGCGACAGCAUCAUAGGCAAUUGGGACGUAUGUGCGUAAUUCGCGUGAGCUUUAAAGUGUGUGAAGCUUAACAUGCGGCGGUGGAGCACUCGCAAAGAAAACGUGCGGUCGCCCGCUCGUUCCCUGGCUGAUUUAGUCGUCGUUCGUGCUUAGUCGUUUGCUCGUUCGUUCGCACGCUCGUUUAGUCGCUUGUUCGUUCGUUUAGUUCGCGCGCUCGUUUAGCCGUUCGUUUAGUCGCUUGUUCGUUCGUUUAGUUCGCGCGCUCGUUUAGUCGUUCGCUUGCUCGUUCAUUCCACUAUUAGUCUCUACAGUUACUCUGUCUAAUUGAGACGCGCUUGCUGUAUGUCUCUUAGUCUGUUGCGUUUAAUUACGCAAUGAGACGAUAAAUGGUGCCUAAAUGUCAACGACUGUAACAAAUGUCCGCCUUCAAGCACAUCAUUCCUUUAACAAAGAACGAACAGGUUUCCCGAAGGUUUCGGCUGCUGCUUACAUUGCCAGUCAUUGUCAAUAUUUUCUGCAUAUCUUUUUAACUGUCACGUCUACUGGCCGAGACACGGUCUUGCACUCGCGGUUUCGUUUACUUUUAGGUGCAGUGCAAAUAACUAGUAUCAGCCGAAUUCUAUUCGAAGUUGUCUAACUGAAAUUACCUUUUUUAGGACCAUUUCACCGAGGACCAAUUCGAGCCUUUAUUUUUGAGUAAGCUCGGCAUUAAGAAAUUACGACCUAACGCUCUACCAAGUCUAUUCAUACAUCGGAAGCUACCAAAGCCUAGGAAGCCCCCUUUGGAACGUAACAGAGGUAAUCCCUCAAAAAAAAAAAAAGAAAAAACUGCCGUCCCCAUUUUACUCUGUUCGUUUUCCUGCACAAUAGGGGCAACUUUGUAUCAUGGUUAACCCAUUUGUUUACAAUUCAGGUGCCGUAUUGUCGAGCAAUGCAAAUUCUUCAGAGGACCCUCCAUUGAAAGGUAUUUCAUCACCAUAGCCAUGACGUAUAGUUUCAAGGAAAACUUAUCUUUAGCUUCUUAACAUCCUACUAAUUUUACCGAACAAUAUAUUUUGGGGGGUUUUCAGCUGCAGAAGUCAGCCAUGAUGUGUCAGGGCUCUCCUUGCGCAGUAAGCACAGCAACUUUCUGGGCAACAAUGCGGUAUCAUUGCUGCUUAUGCUUACUCAAUCUACCAUAUGCAGGCCUUGAAAGCGCAGUACAAGAUACGGGCUCAAGUCUCACGUUCGAAGCUAUAGCUGAUAAUGAAUCUGCCUCUACUGGCAACGACAAUAAGAUGCAUGGUUACAACUGGCAGGCUGGAGAAACCAAUGCCAACAAUGUGGGUGCAUGCCUCCUACUGGCAGCUGCAGCUCAUCUUGAAUGUAAGUUGUCAUUUAUGUUUUAUGCAUGUCUGGCUUACCAUUUGUGUGGGAUGCUUUUAUAUGUCAGCAGCAUCCUGCAACAGUUCAUAUUUCGAGAACAAGCUCUGCUCGGAAGCUGCCACCCCUCACAACAGUUGUAAGUCACGAACUAAAGAAAACUAGAUGCUGCUAUAUUGCUUUGUAUUUGGU